rnacentral:rRNA from 1 species
AAUUCGAAGCAACGCGAAGAACCUUACCAGGUCUUGACAUCCCGAUGCUAUUUCUAGAGAUAGAAAGUUACUUCGGUACAUCGGUGACAGGUGGUGCAUGGUUGUCGUCAGCUCGUGUCGUGAGAUGUUGGGUUAAGUCCCGCAACGAGCGCAACCCUUAUCCCUAGUUGCCAUCAGGUAAAGCUGGGAACUCUGGGGAGACUGCCGGUGAUAACCGGAGAAGCGGGGAUGACGUCAAAUCAUCAUGCCCCUUAUGACCUGGGCUACACACGUGCUACAAUGGGCGGUACAAAGGGUCGCGAACCCGCGAGGGGGAGCCAAUCCCAAAAAGCCGCUCUCAGUUCGGAUUGCAGGCUGCAACUCGCCUGCAUGAAGCCGGAAUCGCUAGUAAUCGCGGAUCAGCAUGCCGCGGUGAAUACGUUCCCGGGCCUU